GGUCCCAUCGUCUAGCCCGGUCUAGGACACGAGCUUUUCAAGCUCGGUACGCGGGUUCGAAUCCCGCUGGGACCA
rnacentral:tRNA from 2 species